AAAGCGUAACAAGGUCUCCGUAGGUGAACCUGCGGAGGGAUCAUUACACAAAUAUGAAGGCGGGCUGGAACCUCUCGGGGUUACAGCCUUGCUGAAUUAUUCACCCUUGUCUUUUGCGUACUUCUUGUUUCCUUGGUGGGUUCGCCCACCACUAGGACAAACAUAAACCUUUUGUAAUUGCAAUCAGCGUCAGUAACAAAUUAAUAAUUACAACUUUCAACAACGGAUCUCUUGGUUCUGGCAUCGAUGAAGAACGCAGCGAAAUGCGAUAAGUAGUGUGAAUUGCAGAAUUCAGUGAAUCAUCGAAUCUUUGAACGCACAUUGCGCCCUUUGGUAUUCCAAAGGGCAUGCCUGUUCGAGCGUCAUUUGUACCCUCAAGCUUUGCUUGGUGUUGGGCGUCUUGUCUCUAGCUUUGCUGGAGACUCSCCUUAAAGUAAUUGGCAGCCGGCCUACUGGUUUCGGAGCGCAGCACAAGUCGCACUCUCUAUCAGCAAAGGUCUAGCAUCCAUUAAGCCUUUUUUUCAACUUUUGACCUCGGAUCAGGUAGGGAUACCCGCUGAACUUAAGCAUAUCAAUAAGCGGAGGAAAAGAAACCAACAGGGAUUGCCCUAGUAACGGCGAGUGAAGCGGCAACAGCUCAAAUUUGAAAUCUGGCUCUUUUAGAGUCCGAGUUGUAAUUUGCAGAGGGCGCUUUGGGCUUUGGCAGCGGUCCAAGUUCCUUGGAACAGACGUCACAG
rnacentral:rRNA from 1 species